rnacentral:rRNA from 1 species
GCAAGUCGAGCGCACCUUCGGGUGAGCGGCGGACGGGUUAGUAACGCGUGGGAACGUACCCUUUUCUACGGAAUAGCCUUUGGAAACGAAGAGUAAUACCGUAUACGCCCUUUGGGGGAAAGAUUUAUCGGAGAAGGAUCGGCCCGCGUUAGAUUAGAUAGUUGGUGGGGUAACGGCCUACCAAGGCUAUGAUCCAUAACUGGUUUGAGAGGAUGACC